rnacentral:rRNA from 1 species
AUUGAACGCUGGCGGCAUGCCUUACACAUGCAAGUCGAACGGCAGCACGGGUGCUUGCCCCUGGUGGCGAGUGGCGAACGGGUGAGUAAUACAUCGGAACAUGUCCUGUAGUGGGGGAUAGCCCGGCGAAAGCCGGAUUAAUACCGCAUACGAUCCACGGAUGACGGCGGGGGACCUUCGGGCCUCGCGCUAUAGGGUUGGCCGAUGGCUGAUUAGCUAGUUGGUGGGGUAAAGGCCUACCAAGGCGACGAUCAGUAGCUGGUCUGAGAGGACGACCAGCCACCGUGGGACAGAGACCCGGCCCAGACCUCCGGGGGGGGGAAGGGGGGGGAAUUGUGGAAAGGGGGCAAAAGCCACGGCCCGAAAGGGCACGAGUGAGAAGAGGGCCUUGGGGUUGAAAAGCUCUUUUGUCCGAAAAAAAAACCUUGGCUUUAAUACGGUCGGGGGGUGGGGGGACAGGAAGAAAAAGCCCCCGAAAACCACG